rnacentral:rRNA from 1 species
AUUAAACGACUCUCGGCAACGGAUAUCUCGGCUCUCGCAUCGAUGAAGAACGUAGCGAAAUGCGAUACUUGGUGUGAAUUGCAGAAUCCCGUGAACCAUCGAGUCUUUGAACGCAAGUUGCGCCCGAAGCCUUCGGGCCAAGGGCACGUCUGCCUGGGCGUCAC